rnacentral:rRNA from 1 species
GAUCAUGGCUCAGGAUGAACGCUGGCGGCGUGCUUAACACAUGCAAGUCGAACGAAGCACUCUAUUUGAUUUUCUUCGGAAAUGAAGAUUUUGUGACUGAGUGGCGGACGGGUGAGUAACGCGUGGGUAACCUGCCUCAUACAGGGGGAUAACAGUUGGAAACGACUGCUAAUACCGCAUAAGCGCACAGGAUCGCAUGAUCCGGUGUGAAAACUCCGGUGGUAUGAGAUCGG